rnacentral:rRNA from 1 species
GAUGAACGCUAGCUACAGGCUUAACACAUGCAAGUCGAGGGGAAACGACAUCGAAAGCUUGCUUUUGAUGGGCGUCGACCGGCGCACGGGUGAGUAACGCGUAUCCAACCUGCCCAUCACUUGGGGAUAACCUUGCGAAAGUAAGACUAAUACCCAAUGAUAUCUCUAGAAGACAUCUGAAGGAGAUUAAAGAUUUAUCGGUGAUGGAUGGGGAUGCGUCUGAUUAGCUUGUUGGCGGGGUAACGGCCCACCAAGGCGACGAUCAGUAGGGGUUCUGAGAGGAAGGUCCCCCACAUUGGAACUGAGACACGGUCCAAACUCCUACGGGAGGCAGCAGUGAGGAAUAUUGGUCAAUGGACGAGAGUCUGAACCAGCCAAGUAGCGUGCAGGAUGACGGCCCUAUGGGUUGUAAACUGCUUUAUAAGGGAAUAAAGUGAGUCUCGUGAGACUUUUUGCAUGUACCUUAUGAAUAAGGACCGGCUAAUUCCGUGCCAGCAGCCG